GACGAACGCUGGCGGCGUGCUUAACACAUGCAAGUCGAACGGAAAGGCCCUGCUUUUGUGGGGUGCUCGAGUGGCGAACGGGUGAGUAACACGUGAGUAACCUGCCCUUGACUUUGGGAUAACUUCAGGAAACUGGGGCUAAUACCGGAUAGGAGCUCCUGCUGCAUGGUGGGGGUUGGAAAGUUUCGGCGGUUGGGGAUGGACUCGCGGCUUAUCAGCUUGUUGGUGGGGUAGUGGCUUACCAAGGCUUUGACGGGUAGCCGGCCUGAGAGGGUGACCGGCCACAUUGGGACUGAGAGACGGCCCAGACUCCUACGGGAGGCAGCAGUGGGGAAUAUUGCACAAUAGGCGGAAGCCUGAUGCAGCAACGCCGCGUGCGGGAUGACGGCCUUCGGGUUGUAAACCGCUUUCGCCUGUGACGAAGCGUGAGUGACGGUAAUGGGUAAAGAAGCACCGGCUAACUACGUG
rnacentral:rRNA from 1 species